rnacentral:rRNA from 1 species
CGAAGUGGCGGCAUGCUAUACAUGCAAGUCGAGCGAACUUGAGGGAGCUUGCUCCCAAAAGUUAGCGGCGGACGGGUGAGUAACACGUGGGCAACCUGCCUGUAAGACUGGGAUAACUUCGGGAAACCGGAGCUAAUACCGGAUAAUUCUUUUCCUCACAUGUGGAAAAGCUGAAAGAUGGCUCCGGCUAUCACUUACAGAUGGGCCCGCGGCGCAUUAGCUAGUUGGUGAGGUAACGGCUCACCAAGGCGACGAUGCGUAGCCGACCUGAGAGGGUGAUCGGCCACACUGGGACUGAGACACGGCCCAGACUCCUACGGGAGGCAGCAGUAGGGAAUCUUCCGCAAUGGACGAAAGUCUGACGGAGCAACGCCGCGUGAGUGAUGAAGGUUUUCGGAUCGUAAAACUCUGUUGUUAGGGAAGAACAAGUACCGUUCGAAUAGGGCGGUACCUUGACGGUACCUAACCAGAAAGCCACGGCUAACUACGUGCCAGCAGCCGCGGUAAUACGUAGGUGGCAAGCGUUGUCCGGAAUUAUUGGGCGUAAAGCGCGCGCAGGCGGUCUUUUAAGUCUGAUGUGAAAGCCCCCGGCUCAACCGGGGAGGGUCAUUGGAAACUGGGAGACUUGAGUGCAGAAGAGGAGAGUGGAAUUCCACGUGUAGCGGUGAAAUGCGUAGAGAUGUGGAGGAACACCAGUGGCGAAGGCGACUCUCUGGUCUGUAACUGACGCUGAGGCGCGAAAGCGUGGGGAGCGAACAGGAUUAGAUACCCUGGUAGUCCACGCCGUAAACGAUGAGUGCUAAGUGUUAGAGGGUUUCCGCCCUUUAGUGCUGCAGCAAACGCAUUAAGCACUCCGCCUGGGGAGUACGGCCGCAAGGCUGAAACUCAAAGGAAUUGACGGGGGCCCGCACAAGCGGUGGAGCAUGUGGUUUAAUUCGAAGCAACGCGAAGAACCUUACCAGGUCUUGACAUCCUCUGACAAUCCUAGAGAUAGGACUUUCCCCUUCGGGGGACAGAGUGACAGGUGGUGCAUGGUUGUCGUCAGCUCGUGUCGUGAGAUGUUGGGUUAAGUCCCGCAACGAGCGCAACCCUUGAUCUUAGUUGCCAGCAUUCAGUUGGGCACUCUAAGGUGACUGCCGGUGACAAACCGGAGGAAGGUGGGGAUGACGUCAAAUCAUCAUGCCCCUUAUGACCUGGGCUACACACGUGCUACAAUGGAUGGUACAAAGGGCUGCAAGACCGCGAGGUUUAGCCAAUCCCAUAAAACCAUUCUCAGUUCGGAUUGCAGGCUGCAACUCGCCUGCAUGAAGCCGGAAUCGCUAGUAAUCGCGGAUCAGCAUGCCGCGGUGAAUACGUUCCCGGGCCUUGUACACACCGCCCGUCACACCACGAGAGUUUGUAACACCCGAAGUCGGUGGGGUAACCGCAAGGAGCCAGCCGCCUAAGGUGGAGCAGAUAAUGG